rnacentral:rRNA from 1 species
UGCCAGCCGCCGCGGUAAUACGGAGGGUGCAAGCGUUAAUCGGAAUUACUGGGCGUAAAGCGCGCGUAGGCGGUUUUGUAAGUCGGAUGUGAAAUCCCCGGGCUUAACCUGGGAACUGCACUCGAUACUGCAUAACUAGAGUAUGGUAGAGGGAAGUGGAAUUUCCGGUGUAGCGGUGAAAUGCGUAGAUAUCGGAAGGAACACCAGUGGCGAAGGCGACUUCCUGGACUGAUACUGACACUGAGGUGCGAAAGCGUGGGGAGCGAACAGGAUUAGAUA